UACAGAGGUCUCAAGCGUUGUUCGGAUUCAUUGGGCGUAAAGGGUGUGUAGGUGGCGCGCUAAGUCGGGGUGUGAAAUUUCGGAGCUUAACUCCGAAACUGCAUUCGAUACUGCCGUGCUUGAGGACUGGAGAGGAGACUGGAAUUUACGGUGUAGCGGUGAAAUGCGUAGAUAUCGUAAGGAAGACCAGUGGCGAAGGCGGGUCUCUGGGCAACAACUGACGCUGAGGAGCGAAAGCGUGGGGAGCGAACAGG
rnacentral:rRNA from 1 species